GCGCGGUUAGCUCAAUUGGUAGAGCGCCACAUUGACGUUGUGGAUGUUGCAAGUUCAAGUCUUGCACCGCGCA
rnacentral:tRNA from 1 species